UGGGGAAUAUUGCGCAAUGGGCGAAAGCCUGACGCAGCGACACCGCGUGAGCGAUGACGCCCUUAGGGGUGUAAAGCUCUGUCAAGAGGAACGAUUAUGACGGUCCCUCUGAAGGAAGUCACGGCUAAUUACGUGCCAGCAGCCGCGGUAAUACGUAAGUGGCGAGCGUUAUCCGGAUUUAUUGGGCAUAAAGAGCGCGUAGGUGGUAGUUUAAGUCAGAUGUUAAAUCCCACAGCUUAACUGUGGCACGCAUUUGAAACUGAAUUACUAGAGAGCAGAAGAGGAAAGCGGAACUCACGGUGUAGCGGUGAAAUGCGUAGAUAUCGUGAGGAACACCAGUGGCGAAGGCGGCUUUCUGGUCUGAUUCUGACACUGAGGCGCGAAAGCGUGGGGAGCGAACGGG
rnacentral:rRNA from 1 species